rnacentral:lncRNA from 1 species
AUGGAGCAGCCAUCGCCUGCAGGAGGAAUACAAGGAGAAAGUCAGCUGAAAUGGAAUUGCAAGUGUCCUUGCUCCAAAUACAAGGUAAAUGAUUUCCUUCUCUCUCCUUUGGUUCUGUUUUUCUCUUCAUGCUUUAAUCAUUUUGACACCAAGCUGUACAAAAGUAAUUUAAAAUUAACAUGUCUGACACUUGGUAGCUAGCAGAACCUGAUUCUGAACCCUGCCCCCUCUUCAGAGUAGCCAAAAGUCUUCUUUGAUUGGCUACUGGUCCUGCAGCAGCUGAUGAAGGGCCCAGGAAAACACAUCCAACAAUUAAUUUGCUAAUUUAGUUUUCUGUUUAAUUUGAAACCAGAAAAUCCUCAGUCACCCAGGAGCUUGGCUCUCUGGCUUGCCUUCUGAAACUUCUCUUUCAGUAGUGAGCAAAGAAACACAAAGGGAGAAGAAAGCUUACCUUCUUAGGUACAUACCAUACCGCCUGUGCCCUCCUAUCUUCACAAUGGUUUUCUAUAGGAUCACAGUUCACACCUCUUUUCACCAGGAGAAUUGGGAGCAAAACAUUCAUACUCGGGGUAGGUAAAAUGCUUCCUGAGUUACGGGGAAUUUCCAGACCAAUAUAUGUUCAGAAUUUAGGGUUACAGACAGACCCAGAUGGGCUUCUAGCGUUAGAAGUAAGGAUUGCUUUAAAUUGUAAAGUGGCUUUCAGGUUCCCUGGGAACUUUCUGGCUGAUUUCAAAAGGAAGAGGCAAAUUUAUAUCAGAGAUUGAAAAGAUUUGUAUUAGAGGGUUGGGUGAGAUGAAAGACACAAGUUUCCCAGAUUCCUCUGAAAGCUUGCCCUUGCUGGAAAGAAUCUUAGAAUUAAGAGGCAGAGAGGGAAUAUCCACCAGAACCCAUUCCCUUUCUGCAACUCAGAGUGGAUUUUGCUCAGCUGGCGGUUUGAUUUUUACUCCCAGUUUUUCCAUCUCAGGGAAAUUAAACUCUUCUGCCUGACAUCCAAGACUUUCUACAAUCCGAUCUCACCUACCCAUCAAUCCCUAUUUCUAACUCUUCCUCAUAGUGCAUUUCCUAAUUUGGCCAGCCUCAA